rnacentral:misc_RNA from 1 species
AAAGGGACUCCAAGUCUUUCCCAAUGGCUACUUGACAGCCUGCCAAAGGGGUCCAGCGUGGGAGUUGAUCCUUUUCUUAUUUCCGUGUGUGAGUGGGAUCGAAUGUUUAAGGAGCUCAAGGAACAUAACAUUGAAUUGAUUCCUGUCACACAAAACCUGGUUGAUCUUGUUUGGCCAUCCAGACCACAGCCACAACCAAGGAAGUUGAUUGUCCUCGAUAUUUCUUACUCAGGUAGAAGUUGGCAAGAUAAAAUCAUAGCCUUACGCGGGUUCCUGAAGGCCAGGUCAGCGACUGCCGUUGUAAUCGAAAAACUGGAUGAAAUAGCGUGGCUUUUGAAUCUCCGAGGAUUUGAUAACAAGUAUACCCCAGUUUUCUUCUCCUAUGUUACAGUUACAAAGGACAGUGCCUCACUGUUCAUAGAUAAUGACAAGGUGACGCCAUCUGUGAAAAGACAUCUGAAAGUUAAAAAUUGUAAAGGCCGGAAUGAAGAGCACCUGUGCGUACAACUUAAGCCAUAUGAUGCUAUCAAGGAAGUUGUGAAAACGCUAGCCGAAUGCAAAACUGCUAAAAUAUUGGUUAGCACAUCCUCAAGCCACGGAAUAAGGAUGAAGAUUCCCAAGGAAAAUUUGUUAAUAGACGAGUCGCCAGUUGCUUUACCAAAAGCAAUAAAAAAUCCAACAGAAAUUCGUGGAAUGAAAAAUGCCAAUGUAAAGGAUUGCGCGGCGCUUUGUCAGUUCUUUGCUUGGAUUGAACGUGAGAUUUCAUUGAAUUCUACAAAGUUGACAGAAUUGACGACUGAGGCAAAGUUGUUGUACUUUAGAACGCUGGAGAAGAAUUUUAUGAGUCCAAGUUUUGCUACAAUUUCUGGCUUUGGACCCAACAGCGCCAUAAUCCAUUACAAAGCAAAUCAAUUUACUAACGCUCGGAUCGACAAAAGCAGUGUUUAUUUGUUGGAUUCAGGAGGACAGUACUUAGAUGGGACAACAGACACAACAAGGACGGUUCAUUUUGGAGUUCCAACCAAACACCAGAAGGAUUGCUACACAAGAGUCUUAAAGGGACAUAUUGACAUUGCCAGUGCAGUUUUUCCCAAUGACACGUAUGGAAGGACAUUAGAUGUGUUUGCACGACAACCUCUUUGGAAAGUGGGGCUGGAUUAUCGACAUGGCACGGGACACGGAAUAGGACACUUCCUAAACAUUCACGAGGGACCCCAGUGUAUAGCUCCAGGAUUUCCUAUCGAAGACGAGAAAAUUUUAAUGCCUGGAAUGAUUUUAUCUGACGAACCGGGAUAUUAUGAAGAUGGUCGCUUUGGAAUUCGACUUGAAACAGCUGUCCUUGUGAAAGUUGCCAAAACAAAGCUUCUCUAAAGCAGUGGAAGUUCACAGUAUCAUUUCGAUGGAGUGGACUAUCUUGAGUUCGAACCAGUAACAUUUUUACCGUUUCAAAGGAAACUUAUUGACGUGUCGUUGUUGA